AUCCCUUCAGCUCCAAUGAUGAACUUUGUGCGUGCCCAGAUCAAGAAAGCAGCUGAUGAGACCGACACUAUUCUGGAAACAACCCCGGCUGGCAAAAGCGAUGGGGAAGGUGCACUUCGAGCUUUCAUUAAGCGCCAGGGCCAAAAGUUAAGGCGGCUAUCAA